ensembl:antisense Gm17116 predicted gene 17116
ACAGAAUAAAGGCAAAAGAGGAGGAAUGGGCUCCUGCGUCAGGGUUCGCUGGACUGCCCCUCCUUCUGCUGGAUUGAAGGAUUGUUUUAUGUGUUUUCUCUAAUUAUAUGGAAUUCUCCCUGAGUCCAGUCCAUGUAUCAGAGAUUAUUCCCAUGUGAGACUCUGAACUCUUGGAGAAAACACACACUGCUUUCCAGUCCCACUUGAAACUCUGCCAGUGAUCCUCAGGUUUGUCUGGCACCCUCCUAUAGCUGCAUAGUGAGCUCAGCUCAUAAAAUCAUCAGUGACUGACUCCCACCCAGACUGGGACUUUGGAACAGCAUUAGAACACAGGUCCAUCCACAUAAGGACUUGCAUGGAGGAAGAGCAUGACCUGCAAAAUGUCCCCUGCUAAUUGAUUAUGGAACAAGACAUGCUGUGGUGGUUUGAAUAUGCUUAGCCCACAAGAAGUGGUACUAUUAGGAGGUGUGACCUUGUUGGAAUAGGUGUGGUUUUCUUGGAGGAAGUAUGUCACUGUGUAGGCAGGAUUUGAGGACUCCUAGUUCAAGCCCCACCCUGUGUGAAAGAAAACCUCCUCCUCUCCACUGCCAGAGUCUCCUGGCUGCCCUUGGAUUAAGAUGUGGAACUCUCGAUUCCUUCUCCUGCAAUGUGUCUGCCUGGAUGCCACCAUGCUUCCUACUAUGGUGAUAAUGGACUGAACCUCUGAAACCACAAGACAGCCCCAGUUAAAUGUUUGCCUUUUGUAAGAGCUGCCUCCAUCACAGUGUCUCUUCACAGCAGUGAAACCCUAAGACAGCAUGCUUACCAAGAAGAUGGACAAAUGCGAUUAGUUGGCAGGAGUGGCUGGGAAGGGGGUCUAGAAGUGGACUGUUGCUGGCUUCUGUAAAGGACACGUCACAGACUUAGCUGAUUUUUACCCCCCACCCCCACCCCCCCUGGCCUGAAUCUAUGGCUUUCAAAAAGUUAGAGACCUUGACUUUACAAAAGCAAUACAGAUAUCAUCAUGUGGAGCCGAGUCAGU